rnacentral:rRNA from 1 species
UACGGAAGGUCCGGGCGUUAUCCGGAUUUAUUGGGUUUAAAGGGAGCGUAGGCCGGUUUGUAAGCCAGCAGUGAAAUGUAGAUGCUCAACAUCUGAGUUGCUGUUGGAACUGCGGACCUUGAGUGCGCGCAAGGGCGGCGGAAUUUGUGGUGUAGCGGUGAAAUGCUUAGAUAUCACGAAGAACUCCGAUUGCGAAGGCAGCCUACCAGGAUGUAACUGACGCUAAAGCUCGAAAGUGCGGGUAUCGAACAGGAUUAGAUACCCUGGUAGUCCGCACGGUAAACGAUGGAUGCCCGCUGUUGGCGAUAUACAGUCAGCGGCCAAGCGAAAGCGUUAAGCAUCCCACCUGGGGAGUACGCCGGCAACGGUGAA